rnacentral:tRNA from 1 species
ACUUUUUUAGUAUAAUAGUACAUUUGACUUCCAAUCAAAAAGUUUGAUAAAUCAAAAAAAGUA